ACGUACACUCCUGCGGGAGGCAGCAGUGGGGAAUAUUGCACAAUGGGCGCAAGCCUGAUGCAGCCAUGCCGCGUGUGUGAAGAAGGCCUUCGGGUUGUAAAGCACUUUCAGCGGGGAGGAAGGCGAUACGGUUAAUAACCGUGUUGAUUGACGUUACCCGCAGAAGAAGCACCGGCUAACUCCGUGCCAGCAGCCGCGGUAAUACGGAGGGUGCAAGCGUUAAUCGGAAUUACUGGGCGUAAAGCGCACGCAGGCGGUCUGUCAAGUCGGAUGUGAAAUCCCCGGGCUCAACCUGGGAACUGCAUUCGAAACUGGCAGGCUUGAGUCUUGUAGAGGGGGGUAGAAUUCCAGGUGUAGCGGUGAAAUGCGUAGAGAUCUGGAGGAAUACCGGUGGCGAAGGCGGCCCCCUGGACAAAGACUAACGCUCAGGUGCGAAAGCGUGGGGAGCAAACAGGAUUAGAAACCCGAGUAGUCCC
rnacentral:rRNA from 1 species